UUUCGCAUUUUGAGAUUUGGAAUUUAUUGUUUUUUUUUUAUCAUUAGCGUAGAAUUUUCAUAUUAAGUUUACAAGCAUUCGGGGAGGCGGAGAAAAAGAGAAAGAAAAGAAACAUGGUUGGCAAAAAUUGAGCAUCAUUAGUAAGAUCGGUUGACUAUUGACUCCGAACAGUAACACAGGGCUAAUGUGAAUAAUUUGAUGAUGAUUUCCUCUAUCUAUUUUGAGACAGACUAUUGGUUGAAUAAAAGAACUAACAUGAAUAAAAUGGAAAUAAAACCAAUUUGAACUUCUGGAUACACGACUAGGUUUAAAACAUAAUAAAUAAAGGUUUCUAGAGUAGCUUAAAACCGAAAGAAAUCAUAGCAUGCUGAAAUGUUUACAGAAAAUCGCAUUAACGCAUAUUUUAACCAGACGUAAUUUCCGCUGCCUUCAACUGACAGCUGUCAAUUAACACCAAUGGCAAAUAUCAUUCUGAAAACUAUCUCCGCUAUCGCUGCGUUGAUGGAUUUACUAUCGCGUACAUGGUUCGAUCUAAAUAUAGCUUUAAUGUUUCAGAUCUCAAGUGAUUGGAUCGAAGGAAAAAUAAAGGGAAAAAGAGUGUUUUGAUAUUGAAACCAACGAUUAAAUCUUUAUUGCCACUUGCUCUCGUUCGACGGCUCUAUUUUAGUAAACUUCGCGGCAUUUUUAAAGAGAAUCGAAGGCAGUAGAUAGAACAAAAGUUUUUUAAAAUAGGAUUAAAAGAGUGAAAAUAAAAACGUUUAAAUUAGAUUACUUCAGAAAAUAGAAGAAUUUGGAACAGAAGAAACUAGAAGCUCGUAAGCGUGACAGAAUAGAUUUUUGGAGAGAUAGGAAAGUAACGGUACAAAAGUGCCACAAGCGGAAACAACGUGAUCAGAUCCAUGCAGAUACAAGAGGCACUGUUUGUUUAAUUUCAAGCAGUAUAAAAGCAGCCGGAUAGCCGGUCGUGAUUAGUUCCUAUCUGGAAGUCAACAUCACCAGUGCUAAAAUAUGAAGACAAUCGCCUUACUGUGCAUCACGUUGCUUUUGGUGGCCUCGAUAUCCAAUGGAUUUGCCGCUCCUCCGCCAAUCACUGACACUUCGGCUGGGGAAGCAGCAGCCGAACAGGACCUUCAGGAUGCGGAGAUACCGAAGAUAGUGCAAAGUAGACGUCUGUGCAGUUUGUUUGGUGAUCCUGGGCCGUACUAUCGGCCUUGCUUCUUCCUGUAACAAUGCAUAGUGAAUAGUGCUUACUACAAUAGUGAACACUGGAACUUGAUGAUUACGCCUGCUAAGUUUUUACGCAUAUUAUAAAAUAUUUAAUUUAGGAAAAUCCUAACCAAAUAAAUAGUGAAGUAAACAUAUCAAUUUCUCUAACAA